AGCCCCGUGAGUAAGCCCUUAAUCCCCUGCCCGGGGACGAGGAGCAGGCAUCAGGCACAAAUCUUUAGCCCAAGACGCCAGGCCGAGCCACACCCCCAAGGGAAUUCAGCAGUGAUAAAUAUUAAGCCAUAAGUGAAAACUUGACUCAGUCAGAGCUAAGAGGGCCGGUAAAACUCGUGCCAGCCACCGCGGUUAAACGAGAGGCCCUAGUUGAUAGUACAACGGCGUAAAGGGUGGUUAAGGAUAGUGAAAUAAUAAAGUCGAAUGGCCCUUUGGCUGUCAUACGCUUCUAGGAGUCCGAAGCCCAAUAUACGAAAGUAACUUUAAGAGCGCCCACCUGACCCCACGAAAACUGAGAAACAAACUGGGAUUAGAUACCCCACUAUGCUCAGUCAUAAACCCAGACGUCCAACUACAAUCAGGCGUCCGCCCGGGUACUACGAGCAUUAGCUUGAAACCCAAAGGACCUGACGGUGUCUCAGACCCCCCUAGAGGAGCCUGUUCUAGAACCGAUAACCCCCGUUAAACCUCACCGCUUCUAGCCAUCCCAGCCUAUAUACCGCCGUCGUCAGCUUACCCUGUGAAGGCAAUAAAAGUAAGCAAAAUGGGCACAACCCAGAACGUCAGGUCGAGGUGUAGCGUACGAAGCGGGAAGAAAUGGGCUACAUUUUCUAUUAUAGAACACUACGGAUAUGCAACAUGAAAUAGUGCUUGAAGGAGGAUUUAGUAGUAAAGAGGAAGCAGCGUGUCCUUUUGAACCCGGCUCUGAGACGCGUACACACCGCCCGUCACUCUCCCCUGUCGAAAUGCAAUAAAGUUAACUAACACCAAAGCUCUGACAAGGGGAGGCAAGUCGUAACAUGGUAAGUGUACCGGAAGGUGCACUUGGAU
rnacentral:ncRNA from 1 species